rnacentral:rRNA from 1 species
AGAGUUUGAUCCUGGCUCAGAUUGAACGCUGGCGGCAUGCCUUACACAUGCAAGUCGAACGGCAGCACGGGGGCAACCCUGGUGGCGAGUGGCGAACGGGUGAGUAAUACAUCGGAACGUGUCCAGUAGUGGGGGAUAGCCCGGCGAAAGCCGGAUUAAUACCGCAUACGCUCGAAAGAGGAAAGCGGGGGAUCUUCGGACCUCGCGCUACUGGGGCGGCCGAUGGCAGAUUAGCUAGUUGGUGGGGUAAAGGCCUACCAAGGCGACGAUCUGUAGCUGGUCUGAGAGGACGACCAGCCACACUGGGACUGAGACACGGCCCAGACUCCUACGGGAGGCAGCAGUGGGGAAUUUUGGACAAUGGGGGCAACCCUGAUCCAGCAAUGCCGCGUGUGUGAAGAAGGCCUUCGGGUUGUAAAGCACUUUUGUCCGGAAAGAAAUCCUUUUGGCUAAUAACCGAGGGGGAUGACGGUACCGGAAGAAUAAGCACCGGCUAACUACGUGCCAGCAGCCGCGGUAAUACGUAGGGUGCGAGCGUUAAUCGGAAUUACUGGGCGUAAAGCGUGCGCAGGCGGUUCGCUAAGACCGAUGUGAAAUCCCCGGGCUUAACCUGGGAACUGCAUUGGUGACUGGCGGGCUAGAGUAUGGCAGAGGGGGGUAGAAUUCCACGUAGCAGUGAAAUGCGUAGAGAUGUGGAGGAAUACCGAUGGCGAAGGCAGCCCCCUGGGCCAAUACUGACGCUCAUGCACGAAAGCGUGGGGAGCAAACAGGAUUAGAUACCCCUGUAGUCC